rnacentral:rRNA from 1 species
CCUACGGGCGGCAGCAGUGAGGAAUAUUGGUCAAUGGACGAGAGUCUGAACCAGCCAAGUAGCGUGAAGGAUGACUGCCCUAUGGGUUGUAAACUUCUUUUAUAUGGGAAUAAAAUGUUCCACGUGUGGGAUUUUGUAUGUACCAUAUGAAUAAGGAUCGGCUAACUCCGUGCCAGCAGCCGCGGUAAUACGGAGGAUCCGAGCGUUAUCCGGAUUUAUUGGGUUUAAAGGGAGCGUAGGUGGAUUGUUAAGUCAGUUGUGAAAGUUUGCGGCUCAACCGUAAAAUUGCAGUUGAAACUGGCAGUCUUGAGUACAGUAGAGGUGGGCGGAAUUCGUGGUGUAGCGGUGAAAUGCUUAGAUAUCACGAAGAACUCCGAUUGCGAAGGCAGUUCACUGGACUGCAACUGACACUGAGGCUCGAAAGUGUGGGUAUCAAACAGGAUUAGAUUCCCCUGUAGUC